UGGCAGGGUAACAUGCUAGCAUUUGUGCUGCUGGUAGCACCGCCUAGCAGCAAUGCACAGCAGCUAUGGGAGAGAUGCAGAGACUAGGCCCAAACUGCAGGGCCAAUGUUUUACGUGUAAAUAAACCAUGGCUUCUUGCAGUAGCACACCUUCACUCACUCCAGCUCUCUUCAGUCAAAAUGCCAGACUCUGAUGAAGCGGCGCCAGCAUCAUGCCAGGUCAUUAGAGAGGAUGCCGACAAAUGGUGAGUUCUGACAGCGAUGACACAGACAUUGUAGAUGCUGAAAACGGUAUUUAUACAAAUAUACACACAUUCAAAAAUACUAAAAAUGAAGGAUUACAUUUUCUCCAGCCAAUGUGACAGUGUGUUGCGAGUGUAAUUGCCUGUACAGAGUGCCUUUGUGUAACUUGUGCCCUCAAGGAUAAUUCAUUAACUGUGUUUGGGUUCCAGUUAAAUGCUAGUCAUUUUCCAUUACAUCCUCUUGGCCAUUCUCAGUCAUCACUUAUUGAGUUCUAUGCAUGACUACCAGUGCAUUCAUAUUACUUCUCAUUUGGCCUCAACUUCUAAGUGCGCCUGUGGGGAGAUCAUUAACUCUAAUUAGAGUUACUGUAGAAUAGGCCUACUUAUUCACAACUUUAAGUAAAUCCAUUCUACAUAGGACCAAAUGUAAUGACAUUUACAGAGGGCCCUUACACUGACAUGAAUGUCUUGAGGAGCAUAAAUAGACCUGAGGUUUGAAAUAGGCACAUUCCAGGCUGUUGGUUCGAGUUACUCACAUGCGAGAAGCGACAGAUAUUUAGUGUGUGUCCACGUGCGGCGGUGAUUAGUGUCAGUGGAGCUGCUGUACAGAUUACUCGCUCAUGUUCUUGCACUUCACCAAAUGUAGAUAAAAGCAGGCUAUAUUGUAAUAAUCCCUUUGAUGCACAUGGAAACUAAAUUUAGAGAUUUUCCUUAUGUUUGAACAGGUGAUGCAACUACUGAUUUCUCCACAUUUACAUCAUGUAAUUUUCACAAUUUCAACUGAAACCCUGAUACAUGCCAAUGAGGAUAAUCCAGCAGUGUGUGUAGAGAGUGCUAAGAGUGUUUUAUACAUCUGCUUUUGUGUUUCAGUAUCAGAGAGUAAGGGGGCAGAGGACUGUAAAGAUCUGGUAGAUGCCUUCCAGGCCUGUAUAAGAACCCUGUCUGAAGGAUCAUGAUACAUAAGGAAACACAUCUGAAUAACAUCUUCACUUUCCUGGCAUUCCCUUUCUGACUUAUUGUAUUGGACUGAACCAUCUAAAAAACUGAAGAGGGGGUGGUGAUGCUGAACUUUGGAUACCAUAUACUUCUGUGAAUGUGGGUUUUUCUUUCAAAAAUGUUAUAAUCAAUUAUGGACUAUGCCAUAACACUAAUAAUCUAUGCACUGUAAUUUUUUAAAUGCGCAAAAUACAAUAAAUAUUACCACACAUAGUA